rnacentral:rRNA from 1 species
UACGUAGGGGCCAAGCGUUGUCCGGAUUUAUUGGGCGUAAAGAGCUCGUAGGCGGCUUGUUACGUCGACUGUGAAAACCCGCGGCUCAACCGUGUGGCUUGCAGUCGAUACGGGCAGGCUAGAGUUCGGUAGGGGAGACUGGAAUUCCUGGUGUAGCGGUGAAAUGCGCAGAUAUCAGGAGGAACACCGGUGGCGAAGGCGGGUCUCUGGGCCGAUACUGACGCUGAGGAGCGAAAGCGUGGGGAGCGAACAGG